rnacentral:rRNA from 1 species
CCCUUAGAUGUUCUGGGCCGCACGCGCGCUACACUGAUGCAUCCAACGAGUUUCUUCCUGGUCCGAGAGGAAUGGGUAACCUUUUGAAAGCGCAUCGUGAUAGGGAUAGACUAUUGCAAUUAUUGGUCUUCAACGAGGAAUUCCUAGUAGACGUAGUUCAUCAGACUGCAUCGAUUACGUCCCUGCCCUUUGUACACACCGCCCGUCGCUCCUACCGAUUGAAUGCUCAGGUGAGCCAUUCGGACUUUCAUCAUGCUGGUUUCCAGUUUUGAUGAAGGAAAGUCUUGCGAACCUUAUCAUUUAGAGGAAGGAGAAGUCGUAACA